rnacentral:rRNA from 1 species
AUUGAACGCUGGCGGCAGGCCUAACACAUGCAAGUCGAGCGGAGCGGCGGACGCGUGAGUAAUGCCUAGGCAUCUGCCUGGUCGUGGGGGAUACCGUCCGGAAACGGGCUCUAAUACCUCCUACUAUCAGAUGAGCCUAGGGCGGAUUAGCUAGUUGGUGGGGUAAAGGCCUACCAAGGCGACGAUCCGUAACUGGUCUGAGAGGAUGCUCAGUCACACUGGAACUGAGACACGGUCCAGACGCCUACGGGAGGCAGCAGUGGGGAAUAUUGGACAAUGGGCGAAAGCCGGAGCCAGCCAUGCCGCGUGUGGGAAGAAGGUCUUCGGAUUGUAAAGCACUUUAAGUUGGGAGGCGUUACCAACAGAAUAAGCACCGGCUAACUUCGUGCCAGCAGCCGCGGUAAUUC